AACUUAGUGGCUGCAAACAUUGUACAAGAAGGUACUAAUGUAUUCUGUUCCUUGGACUAAAGAUAUUUAGGGUAAAUGUGCUGCGGUCCCUUUAAGGUGUUGCUAUGGUGAUGCUGCGCGCUUGUUGUUAGCGCGUCAUCAGUCUGCGUGUAACUGGAGAAAGAGCAAAUACAGCACAGUUUCUGCACAUUUAUCAAAUAACUAAGGAUUUUAUUAAAGCAAGAAUAUGUGUGAAGGGCCUUCAAUGAUCUCUGGUCCCAUACCUCCGGACCCUACAUUGUUUCCUGAAUACUACAAACGCCCAUUCUCAGCUCGUGGUCGACUGGAGGGAAACUGUAAGUCUCCAGCUUUUCUUAAAGGUCCUUUAGCGCCAGAUCCUGUGCUGUAUCCAGGGUGCUACAGCGCUCGGGUCACUCCUCGACCCCGCAUUGGUGCUAACGCUGCUGACAUUCUGGAGAGAGGCCAGAGAGGAGUGAUUGGCAGCUUACUGAAACUGGAGGGAGUGUCACUGAUCCCCAAUCCAAGCAAACCCAAACCUGUCGCACGUGACUUUGGGAAAGAAAAUGUCCGUAAGCUACGUGAAAUCCAGAGAAGGUUUCGAGAGUUGGAGGCACAGAGAGAACAUGCCAAACCUGUGCCUGUUAAAGCUCUGUGGACAUCGCCAAAAUACCAGGACGUGUCCUCCAGGGUUAUGGCCCAAUUACAAGAGAUGAGCCCACCCAAGAAACCGGAAUGUCAGAAUUUCCUGAAAGCUCAUUCUGGAGUUCGACCGCCGCUCAGACGCUCAGAGUCUGGACCGGCACCGGACCAUGUUGGAGAUUCCGGUUCUGAAAUGGAGGUCAGAGGUCACACGGUAGACUUUGUGAGUCACAAUGCGCGUGCUGCAGGGAAGACGACCUUACGGCGAUCUCAAUCCUUACAGGACCUCAGAGGAAAACCACCACCUAGUGCUGAGAAAGGAAAAGUUCCACAGUAUCUGGAGCAGAGGAAGAUGCAGUGGAGAAAAGAGGAGGAGGAGAAGAGGAAAAACAUGCGGGAUCCUUCCAUUCCUGCUGGACACACACAGAUGUCUGAACGAGAGAGACAAGAAACCCUUAAGUCUCUUAAAGAUACUCACAGGUCUCUGGUCAGUGAACUGGUUUCUCUCCCAGUAAAAGCAGACACACUCAGCAUUCGUUCUCGACGUGCAGAACUUGAUCAGCGUCUCUCAGAAGUGGAGGAAGCCAUCAAAAUUUUUUCCCGUGACAAAGUUUAUGUAAAAAUUGACUCGUAAACACAGCACUGUGUGAUUGAUCCUUGUACAUUACUCAAUGAGAGUUAGUUCACUGCAUUUAUUUUCACUGCAUUUAAAUAUCUUAUCAGGGGGUUGGCCUUUCAACAUAUUGUCAAUGUAAAUCAAAUUUUUUUAUUAAAUGCACAUUCAGACCUGACUGAGGUCUCUUUGGCUAAUGAACGACUUUUACAAUUUUAAUUUUCCACAUGAAUCAUAAUUGCAGUAUUUCUGUUAUCACAUACAGUCAUUUUGUUGAAAUUUUCAGCUGCAGCAUUUGUACUAACCAACUAUUUAUAAUGUAUUUGUUAAUUGUGGUAUUAGUAGAAUGUUAGUUUUGAAUUGUUUUGGUGUGUUGUAAUGAUUUUUAGUAUUACAGUACUGAGAUGACAGUGGUGCUUAUUUUGAAGAUGACAAUAAACAUGUUGUUUAUUAUAAGAUGUUUCGAAGUAAAAGUACCACACAGAAAAAUACAUAUACACCAACUAUCUACAUCAAAUAAAUGUAUACACAAUGGGCGUUUCUCAAUCCGAAGGCUGCGGAGGUCGCAUAUGCAGUCUGCUUACGUCAUCAAGUCUGGUUUAUUUAAUUUAACUGAGCAUUACAUUCCCAUGAGCAUAUUAUAGCAAUUUACGAUUAACUAAUAUUAAUAUUGAACUUUAUAACUGUUAAUAUUCUGAAAUAAGACAGUCUUGAUGACGUAUGCAGCCUAGAAAUGCGACCUCAACCCUUCGGAUUUAGAAACAGCCAAAAUUUAUAAUUUUCAAUAUUUCUUAUGUUUAACGCAUUUUAAAUUUGUGCCCUUGUUAUCUUACAAUAAUGAUAUUAAAAAUGUAGUUUUUUACACGUUGUAUCUUUACCAAAGACCUUUAAAAGACUCGACGACUCACGUAAUACAAUCUCUGAUUGGUCAGUGUGUGUGCAGUGGGAGGGGCGUCCAUAAUCCCCGCCCCGUGUUCUUGCGUGGCUCUAAUGCUAAUUCAAAGGCUUUGUCCUGUUGUGUGGAGCGUCAACUCAGCGUAUUUUCAAGUAAAAAUACAACGUUUACCAUUUCAUAUAUUAAAUCCACGAUCAUUAUCAAGCAUGAGUAAACGGAAAGCGCCACAGGAGACUCUGAAUGAAGGAAUUACAGACUUCCUUAUAGAGUUGGCAAAUUAUGAAAGAAAUGUCAACAGAGCCAUUCAUAAAUACAAUGCUUACAG